CUCUUGGCGUGAACAUAGCUGGAACAUGACUUGAGCGGUGGUGGGGACAUCGUGCUCUAGAAGUUUCAGAAUUUACACGUUGUGUCAGCCUCUUCUUUCCCCAACUCAAUUUCUCCUCUCUCAAGAAAAAAUCAAUUCAUCCAUGGAUCCGACUUAUCUCCACCGCCUCCUCUGCCCCGACCUCCUCCAUAUGGUUUUUUCUCUCCCACCUCGACCGCUUCUCCCUGCCUGAGCCACCAUGCCCCGGCCUGUUUCUCGCCCUGAUCUCCACUGUCGAGCUUCCAUGUGGCCGCCUCUCUCUCAGGAGUGGUUGACUGUCGGAGGGACCAGCGGCCGUGGCCCGGGGCCGCUCCUCAUCCGUACAUCGCCGCCGCGCCGAAGUGUUAUAUCGUUCCUCCACGUUGCAGUUCCUCUACUGGACGUUGGUGCCAAAGCCAGCAGUGUCGCCGCCUGCUUCGGAUUUGGGAGCUCGGCGCCGGCAGCUAGGCCUACCGGCAGCGCACCAGCACGCUGAUAUGGCCAAGCAGGGAUUUCCAGCGUCGGAGCGGCCCCCACCGGCCAUUCGAUCGCCUGUACUGCCUGCGCUCGCGCUCCACGACUCCUUGGACACGCGUCCUGCUCCGGCGGAUAGAAGACGGGGGCAGCAGGCUUUAUUUUGUCCUCUGGUUGGUUCUGCCUUGCAGCUCCGGAUCGUUUCUGCUCUGUACAUUGCAUCUCCCAUCCGGCAGUUCAGUUAGGUGGAUUGCAUAUGAAAAGAAGCAGUGGCAUUCAAUUAGCAUGCUUGCAGAGCCUCAAAGUUGUGGAGUGAGAUGAUGGGAGAUGUACAAAGCACUCUGCGCAGGGCAUACAGGUUAUGUGCACGAAGCUCAUUACUAUGAUGAAUUCAGAGAUCAUGCAGGUUCGAGUGCCAUUUGUGUCCCUCUUAGAAAGAUCGAGGAGAUGAUAGUGGGUAUUCAAUCAGAUUAGUUGGCAUGCCAUGAACUAGACUGAAUGAACUAUUGAGAUCAGGUCAAUGGGCUUCGGACAUUACUUUGACUACUAGAAGAUUUAGGAUGGUUGAUUGUUUUCUGCAAGGCUCAUUCGGACAUUACUAUUAUGUCUGAGCAGUCAUUAGGUGUGGCAAUGAUGGUGAAAGUAUGUUAUGUAGCUCCUCCAUUGGCUGCAAAUGCUGGAGGUUUUUCAAACUAAGCAGCGUUGGCUGGCAUCAUUCAGGGGCUACCUGACGGAUCCCACAAUUUAAUAUCUCUUAAGGAUUGCUUCGAGGGUUUUACAAUUUUUCUUACAUAUAUCAUACUGGUGAGACACUGCAAAUAAAAGCAUCACUAUAACUGAAUAUCAAUGCAAUAGUCGCCCCCUUGAAUAGCAAUGUCUCCUUAUGUGUGCUAUUUUUCAUUCAGUCACACCAAUUUUAUAUAGUGAUCAAAACGUGAAAGCUUGCAGGUAAAAUAAAUGGGUUGACCAAAACAUCAGAAGACUCAAAUCUUCCUACCUUAGAAUGCACUUCCUGAAGGUUUUAUGAAGGUCAACACCGAUGCCUUUUCCGUUGAUGAAUCUGGGGUUGCUAGCGAUGGAGUGGUCGGCUGGGAUUACCUGAGAAGUGUCAUUUCUCUGCAGCCUAAAGAAACUGAAGUUGAGGUACUACAUGGCGUGCGUCUUAGGGCAAACUUUGGAUGUAGGAGCAUUGUGACAGAGUCUGACAGUUAGACAGUUAUUAACGUGAUCAAUUCGAAAUUCUGUAA